rnacentral:lncRNA from 1 species
CCCCCCUUAAAAGAAUCUCGUCCUCGAGAUUGAGCCAGGUAAACACAAACCACUGUGUAGUUGUGACCCUUUCCAGUCAUCCUCUCUUUUCCAAGUUGCUUCUACCUCUAAAAACCGAUUCCAAUGCACUAACAAAUUCAUGUCUCUAGUCAAGUAACAUACCUGGUAACUUAUCUGAAAAUUUAUUCCCUACCCAGUCCUGAAGAUCAACACCAUCAUCCAGCUGAUUCACUGUAGCUGUGGGUGGAGCCUGCACUGCUACAUCCACACUGAUUCUCUCUCCCUUGGGUGUUGUCACAACUACUACUUUUUCUUUGCACUUAAUUUCCGUAGCAUAUUUCUUCAUCCAAUCCAAACCCAAUAUCACAUCUAUGCCUGAGGUUCUCAUAACCAUGGGACUAACAGGGAAAUCCACCCCCCUUAAAGAAAGACUUGCUGAGGGGCAACAAUAUGAAACUGGUAUAGUCCCUCCCGGUGAGUUUACUAGCAUAUGGGUUUUCAGGGCAACUAGUGGUAUGCUGUGAACUCUAACAAAUGCUUGUGAUAUGAAUGUAUGCGAAGCUCCAGAAUCAAAUAAAACUGUAGCAGGAAUAGAGUUGAUACUAAACGUACCCAUCAUAAUCUCCGGUCCCUCUUGUACUGUCUCUGCAGCCACAUGGUUCACCUUUGCUCCAUGAGAAUUAGACUUUUGAUUGUUGUUCCGCUGGUUGAAUCUCUCCGGGCAAUCAUAUGACAUAUGACCUUCUUUCCCACAGCGAAAACACCUAGUAGGGGUAUUGGGAGCACUUCUCUUCAUAGAGGUGGCAUUUGAAUCUCCGGAGCGGGAAGUCUGCUGUCCACUCUGUUGAUGAUUAGGAUUACGCUGAGAUUGUUGGUUGCGAUCCCAUUGACUAACUGGUCCCUGAAAGCUCUGUUGAUUGCUCUGCUGAGAAUUGAAACGUUGGCGGUUGUUGCCUCCAGACCCUUGUGCUAGCAUCCUCCUCUUCUUAUCCUGACCUUUGCGCAUGUUAUCCAACACAAUGGCACGGUUCACCAGAGCCUGGAAUGUAGGGUAGGUAUUUCCAGCCAGUUGCAAUCUGAGUUCAUAGUAAAGACCUUUCAUGAAGAGACGUUGUUUGUCAGCAUCUUCUCUGACUUCGUUUGGAGCAUAGCGAGCCAACUGCUCAAACAUGUCAUGAUACUCAGCCACAGACAUAGAACCCAUCCUGAGAGAUCUGAAUUCUUCCUGCUUGAGCUCCAUCAUUCCUUCAUUGAUAUGUCGUGCUCUAAAGUCUCUGCAAAAUUCUAACCAAGUGACAGGAGGAGCAUUGUUGGGACGAGCAGCUUGAUAUGACUCCCACCAGGUCUGAGCUGCUCCCUGAAGUUGUCCAGAAGCAUACAACACCUUCUCUAAGUCAUUGCACUGUGCUAUGUUUAGUUGCCUCUCCACAGCACGUAACCAAUCAUCCGCCUCCAUGGGAUCCGCUGAGUGUGUAAAUACCGGAGGUCUUCCCUUCAUGAAUUCCCCCCGCUUAUCUCUCACAUGAACAGGUGGUGAUGUUGGUGGAGGUUGUUGUUGUAGGUGUUGCAUGAAGACGUGCAUCAUCUGAUUCUGAGUUUGCAUAAGUUCCUCCACAGUAAUUGGGGCAUUGUCACUAUUGCCACGGCCUCUGCCUCUGCCUCUUCCCCUUGCUGCCAUCUGCAUUCCAAGGUAUAUAAACACAUCUUAGUAAUGUCCAACAUGACAAUUACAAGAGUUAACCGAAUCUGAAAUUUUCUGGGUAACAUCCAACAUCAGCAGAUCAGAAAAUCAGUAAUAUCUCGAGUUCCAGAAUUCAAAAGGAUACAUGCUGUACACCGUUGGAAAGAUAAAGAAAUUGUCUACAACUUCCAUUUAGAUCAUAUUACCAGAUUCCAACGUGAGGUUAACCAAAAACUGGGUACAACCGAAACUGUUCCAGAAUUCCAGACUGCGCAGAAACCUCAACUUGAAACAGUCAUAACUCUCAGCUCAUAAUCGAUGCUAUGGUCAUUCUUGCGGCAUUGGAAAGAUAUGGAAGUCUACUUGUUCCCAGAAAAAUUUGAUGGACAUUGCAUGAACAGAUUUUGAGAUGUACCAGAUUCAUUGCAGACUGCUCCAUAAAACAGCAAAGGACAGAAACAGAAUUUUAACCAACCCCAACUAUUUAGUUCAUUAAUCCUUAUGCCUUAAGCCUAUAAACUAAAUGAAAUUGUAGAGGAAAUCCACAAGAUCAUUGCACUCAUUACAAAGAUCCAAAUCAAGCAUAAGCAUAAUAACAAACCAAACCAAGCAUCAAAGGUUCACAUUUCAAGCAUUAACUCAACUUGCGGUACUAUCGUUCUCUUCCUAUUAAGGGCAAAGAUUCCUAAAAUUCUCUUUCAACUAUGUAAGCAGGUGGUAAGAGAAGGUUCUAAAAGCAUAUUCAAAGCAAGGAGUGGGGAUGAGAACAAGUCUUUAAAAUAAGCAACAAGGUGAAGAUGAAUAGGAUAUAGUGUAGAAGAAAAUAUCAAGGUUUAUAGAACAAGGAUUUUAUAGCAAUUUCAAAACCUUAUGACGGCCAAUUUCUAACUAGGCUUGCGUCCGACAGUCAACAAAGCUCUGAUACCAAUUUGUCACACCCAUAUUUUAAGAACAAAAUAGGAUGCAUAAAAGACUCAUAUGUGCCCCAGGAAUAGUCACACACAUAAGUAGACAAAUCUCAAAUGUACCAUUGCAGUGUUUAUUACAUAGCGGAAUAUAUAUUGAAUCACAUAGUCUCAUACAAAAAUGAUAGCAUAAAGUAAACAACGCUCUCGACGGAAGCUCCACACAGGGACACUGUUGACUGGUUGACUCCAAACCUAGUACUCAUAACGAUAAUCCUCAUUCCAGUCAUCUUCAUUAUCAUAACCUGAGGUGUUGGGAAAUUGCAAGAGUGAGCACAUAUCGUACUCAACAAGUAUAACCAGGGGUUCAUGAGGCUCAAAUAGCUGACACUGGUUUGACUGCAUUUAGCUUUUAAUGGUGGAUAGCAUGUUCAUAAUUAAUGAGCAAUUGUCAAGGAAGCUGAAAUAAUCCAUUAAUCCCAUGAUCAAAUGUAAGCAUAAUUAAUCUCAUAGCAUAAACGAUAAUCAAAUGAACAUAAUAACAUAACAAGCUCAUCAUCUUAAUGUAGAUGUCCCCAAGGCCGCUCCUGACCGUGAGCUCGGCUAGUAUACCAGUUUUACACUCUGCAGAGGUUGUACAUCUUUACCCAUGAGUCAUGAUUUACCCUUUCGCCCGAGGCCCGUCGACCUCUUAACCCACUACCAAGGAAGGUCGGCAGGGAUCACUAUGAAGCCUUUCAAAAGUUCGUCUAACAAGUUAGGGCCGCAAGGUUUCCUUUGCGCGCAGAUAUAGAGCCCCCCUUCCGAUGGCACAAUGACUCGCAGCCUAUACUCAUACAGACAGAGGCCACACUAUACCCAAAACGGUUCAGCCCCUCCGCUCUUUCGGGUAACCGCUAACAAGCUAGAAAAGGGCUUCAUACUGAGCUAAAGCCAGAGCCAUAAUAGCCCUCAUGGUUGCACUGUUAUCCCGGGUGAUCACGUACAGACAAGAUCUCAUACAGUUAUUUGUCAUUCUUUUAUGUUCAUUGCAUAGCUAUUAAUCAUCUUACAAGAUCAUGGAUUAUAUCAAGCACUAGCACAUCUACACCAAAUGCAUAUCAAGUAGGUAGCAAGGAAUACAGGUAACAAUUGUCUAUGAUUUUGCUAAGGUCAUCAAGGUGGACACAUGCAUAUGAUAAAUAUUGUAUUAAUUGUGUAUAGGUAACAAGGAUGAUCCCAAGUUAUACUUGCCUUGAUCAAAGCUCUCCUGAGCCUGCUGGUCUUCAAAUACUUGAUCUUGAGCACCAACGUACGGCUCACGGUCUAAUCCCAAUCAUCAAUCAACAACACGCAAUCCAAUGUAGACAAUCAUACACGAAGCAAACAAGAUAUAAUUAGAACAAUACACCAAACAGUGGUAAAACCAAUAUAAAAGUUUAUCAAAAUUUUCUACGCAGCGCUACGAUCACACAAACGUAAAGUUCACGAAAAUCGGAAUUAAAACGUGAGAGAUAUGAAUUUUCUAAGAUUUCCUAUAAAGAAAUAAUUAAUUAAAUACUACUGCAGAAUUAAAAAGUUUCAAAACAGUAAACUAAUAUUUCUAACAUGUAGAGAUCGUAAAUACGAAUACAACGGAAUUUGAAUGGACAAAAACGGAGUUAAAAUGAAUAUUUUAUGAGCAUUAUAAAAUCAGUGGCAAUUCUGUAAUUUCUGCAAAACGUAUUUGAACUCGGCCGACAGAAAAUACGCUUUCCCACUUCGAAAACGGAAUCUUGCUCAGGGCGCCAAGGACCGCGGGGCAAAUAUGGAAAACUAUCAGGGACUCUUUACGAAGAAUUGCAGCGAAAGGGUACGUUUUAAUCCUGGCCGUUGAUCUUCGGUUGAACGGUUGGUAGCCUUCCUGGUCACCCACAUCCGGCCGGAGUUGGGCACCGGUUCGGUGGCGCCAUGGCCACCGCCCGGAAGCUCGCCGGCUUCUCGUUUCCGAGCACCGUUUCCAGAAAGAAAAACACCGGGAUGAAGAGGAGCUCACCACGAUCUCGUCUAAGCGCUUGGUUGGGUCCGAGAGCUAGCAGAGGGGCGUGUCCACGCGCGGCGGCGAAAAGGGCUCCCGGCGAGAUCCAGAACUCGCGAAACAAGGCACGGGGACUCGGUUUUGGCGACCUAGAUGCGAAAACAUGACGAGGGAGCGAUGCUGGAAGCUUUAUAGUGGUCGGUUUGCGCGCUUGGCAAGGAAAUCCCGAGAACUCGGGCCUCGGUUCGAUCCGGCCGAGUCCGUCUCGCCCACGAUGCUGGGAAGAAGAUGGGAGGGGCGAGACACUGCCGGGUGGGGUCAGUUGUCAGCGACUGAGAGAGAAAGGGGGAGGCGCUGUGCUGCGGGGCCGGCUCGUCAGCGAGCCAAGGCAGAGGGGCGCGGGGGAGGGGAGCUGGGCCUCGGCCUGGAAGGCUUCCUUUUUUUAAAAAAAAAACCUUUUUCAAAAAGGAUUUUGAGGACAAUUAAAUAUAAACUAAAUACAAUCAACAUAAAAUAAAAUAUGUCUCAGCAUGAAUGCACAAAAUCAUGUUACUAAGCUUAUGAUAAAUUUUAAAUUUCCACAAAAUUGUUUAUUUGCUACAUUAAAUGCUCACUAAAAUUCUUAAAUAAUUCAAAUUAAAUCCUAUUAAUUGAAAUUCAAAUUUUGGAUGUUACAAACUCUACCCCCCUUAAAAGAAUCUCGUCCUCGAGAUUGAGCUAGGUAAACACAAACCACUGUGUAGUUGUGACCCUUUCCAGUCAUCCUCUCUUUUCCAAGUUGCUUCUACCUCUAAAAACCGAUUCCAAUGCACUAACAAAUUCAUGUCUCUAGUCAAGUAACAUACCUGGUAACUUAUCUGAAAAUUUAUUCCCUACCCAGUCCUGAAGAUCAACACCAUCAUCCAGCUGAUUCACUGUAGCUGUGGGUGGAGCCUGCACUGCUACAUCCACACUGAUUCUCUCUCCCUUGGGUGUUGUCACAACUACUACUUUUUCUUUGCACUUAAUUUCCGUAGCAUAUUUCUUCAUCCAAUCCAAACCCAAUAUCACAUCUAUGCCUGAGGUUCUCAUAACCAUGGGACUAACAGGGAAAUCCACCCCCCUUAAAGAAAGACUUGCUGAGGGGCAACAAUAUGAAACUGGUAUAGUCCCUCCCGGUGAGUUUACUAGCAUAUGGGUUUUCAGGGCAACUAGUGGUAUGCUGUGAACUCUAACAAAUGCUUGUGAUAUGAAUGUAUGCGAAGCUCCAGAAUCAAAUAAAACUGUAGCGGGAAUAGAGUUGAUACUAAACGUACCCAUCAUAAUCUCCGGUCCCUCUUGUACU